CAUAAUUGUCACAUCCAACUUAGUAUUGAAAGUGAAAAGGAGAUUAGGUUAAUGAAUUCUUGAGUUAAUUUGAAUCGAUUAUUAUGUUUUUAUCAAAACGAUGUUUUUUGUUUUUUACAUUUCUUAGUGUUUGAUGCGGUCAGAUCUAUUGAGUUUGAUCAGGAUCAAUGUAGAUUGGCUUGAAAAAAUGUUGGAUCAUCAUGGCUAAUCAUAAUUAACUAGCCCAUCAUUUGUAAUUAUAAUAACAGUAAAUGGACCUGCAAUUUCCUGAGAUUAUACUGUAAUUAGCUAUCUAAAGUGGAAUUUGGUGCCUUUUGUAGAGAAUGAUUUGAAAGGGAAGCUAGGAGAGCCUGCAUAUUUGGAAGAAUGGAUUACCACCAUCACUUCCUUAACCGCCGGCGAGUCGGCUUUCAAGGUCACCUUUGACUGGGAUGAGGAGAUUGGAGUUCCAGGGGCAUUUCUGAUAAGAAACAAUCAUCACAGUGAAUUCUACCUCAAGACUGUCACACUUGAAGAUGUUCCUGGCCAAGGCCGAGUCCACUUUGUUUGCAACUCGUGGAUUUAUCCUACGAGGCGUUACAAUUAUGAUCGUGUUUUCUUCACUAACCAGGUAAUUAUGCAACCAUAGAAAGCUGAAGGUAGUUGUAAAUGUUUUCCUGAUCUAACAAAUCCUGAUACAUUUGUAUAGAAUUAUCUGCCGCACGAGACACCUGCACCGCUACGUAAAUACAGGGAAGAAGAACUGGUUAAAUUGAGAGGAGAUGGAAAAGGAGAGCUUAAGGAAUGGGACCGCGUUUACGACUAUGCUUACUACAAUGAUUUGGGAGAUCCUGACAAGGGUGCAAAGUAUGCCCGCCCAGUUCUUGGUGGAUCUUCUGAGUACCCUUAUCCUCGUAGGGGCAGAACUGGCCGAGCACCAGCAAAAUCAGGUCUUUACCUGUUGAGCGUCAUCUCGCAUUCAUGUUAUCAUCAAUGGUUUGUGAUUUUAUUUUUUGUUCACACUCUUACAAUUUCCGUGAUCUAAACAGAUCCCAACACUGAGAGCAGGCUGCCACUUCUCAUGAGCUUAAACAUAUAUGUUCCAAGAGAUGAACGAUUCGGUCACCUGAAGUUGGCUGACUUCCUUGCUUAUGCACUGAAAUCCGUCGCUCAAUUUAUUAAGCCUGAACUGGAAGCUUUACGUGACAGCACCCCUAAUGAGUUUGACUCCUUUGCUGAUGUACUGGAUCUCUAUGAGGGAGGGUUUAAGCUGCCUGAUGGUCCCCUACUAGAAAAUCUUAAGAAAAACAUUCCCGUGGAGAUGCUCAAGGAAAUUAUUCGAACUGAUGGAGAAGGCCUUUUCAGAUUUCCAAAGCCUCAAGUGAUUCAAGGUUUGAACUAAGGCAUUUAACUCUAUGCUUGUGCUGUUCUUAGACUGUCACUUUCUCGUUUUCAGCAACUUAAUUGUGAUCUAUUAAUUAUACAGAGAGCAAUUCUGCUUGGAGGACGGAUGAAGAAUUCGGUAGAGAAAUGCUGUCUGGAGUAAACCCUGUUCUCAUCCGUCGUCUUGAGGUACACUGAAGCUGCAACAAGUUUUUCUUUCUGCAAAAUUUAUAUUUUUUGUUUUUCUUGUGUCUAAGAACAAAUUAUUGCAGGAAUUCCCUCCCAAAAGCAAGCUAGACAGCAAACUUUAUGGUGAUCAAAACAGCACCAUAACUGAGGAGCACAUCAAGGAUAGUCUGGAUGGACUGUCCAUAGAUGAGGUAAGCUAUCUCUCGAUUGGUUUCUUCGACAAUUAUGUUUAGAAUCGGAUCUGUGAACGCUUCACGGAUGUAAUUGAUGAAUUUAAUCUUCCCAAAAGACAUGUUGUAGCUGACACACUUUGCUUCUGAAUAGGCGAUCGAGAAGAACAGGAUGUUCAUAUUAGAUCACCAUGAUGCAUUGAUGCCAUACCUGAGGAGGAUAAACACUACUACCACGAAGACUUAUGCAUCAAGGACUCUGCUUUUCUUGAAAGAUGACGGGACUUUGAAGCCUCUUGUAAUUGAGUUAAGCUUGCCCCAUGAAGAAGGAGAUGAAUUUGGAGCCAUUAGCAAAGUCUACACCCCAGCUGAACAUGGCGUUGAAGGCUCCAUUUGGGAUCUGGCUAAAGCUUAUGUGGCUGUUAACGACUCCGGUUACCAUCAGCUUAUUAGCCAUUUCUUGAACACUCAUGCUGUGAGUGAGCCAUUUGUGAUUGCAACAAAUAGACAACUCAGCGUGCUUCACCCAAUCUAUAAACUUUUGGAACCUCACUUCCGUGACACAAUGAACAUCAAUGCGCUCGCUAGGCAGACGCUCAUCAAUGCUGGUGGAAUCCUGGAAUCAACGGUUUAUCCUGCAAAGUAUGCCAUGGAAAUGUCAUCAGUAAUUUACAAAAACUGGAAUUUCACAGAGCAAGCACUUCCUGAAGACCUGAAGAAGAGGUAAACCUUAGUUUACUCAUAAAGGCUAAUUCAUAGUUGUUCAUAAUUAAUUUGCUAGAAUCUUAGAACUUGAAAUUAAAAAAACCACAGAGAAAUGCGUUGGGAACUUAGACUAUGGUUAAUUCUGUGAUGAUGCUGUAUUUCAUUUCAAUGACAUGUGCUACCUUGUUUACUCAGAGGAGUGGCAGUGGAGGAUCCAAAGUCUCCACAUGGUGUUCGCCUACUGAUAGAAGACUAUCCAUACGCUGUUGAUGGGCUAGAGAUAUGGUCAGCAAUCAAAGAAUGGGUCAGAGACUACUGCUUUUUCUACUACAAGAAUGAUGAGAUGAUUCAAAAGGAUUCUGAACUACAAUCAUGGUGGAAGGAAGUGAGAGAGGAAGGGCAUGGUGACCUGAAAGAUGCACCCUGGUGGCCUAAGAUGCUGACUCGUGAAGAGCUAAUAGACUCAUGCACCAUAAUCAUAUGGGUGGCAUCAGCUCUCCAUGCAGCUGUCAAUUUUGGUCAGUACCCUUAUGCAGGCUACCUUCCCAAUCGUCCAACCGUAAGCCGAAGGUUCAUGCCCGAGGAAGGCUCUCCUGAAUAUGAGGAGCUCAAGUCGAACCCUGAUAAGGCUUUCUUGAAAACAAUCACUGCACAGUUGCAAACACUUCUUGGAAUUUCCCUCAUAGAAAUUCUGUCAAGGCAUUCCUCAGAUGAGGUGUAUCUUGGACAGAGAGACACUCAUGAAUGGACAGCAGACAAGAAACCAUUAGAGGCGUUUGAGAAAUUUGGAAAGAAACUGGCAGAAAUCGAGGACAAAAUGCUAGACAUGAACAAAGCUGGGAAAUGGAAGAAUCGGGUCGGUCCAGUCGAGGUGCCAUACACUUUGUUGGUUCCUACCAGUGAAGGUGGACUCACUGGAAGGGGAAUUCCUAACAGCGUCUCAAUCUAAAUCUUCUCCAUAAGACUAUUUAUUCUAUUCUUACUCAUUUGUCGGUAUGAAAGCAGUACCUGAUUCUUGUUAGCAUCCAAGGCACAUAUGUCCUGAUGUAAUAAACUCCAUAAAUAAUGCAGAAUAAAAGUUGUUCCUUUUUGUCAUUUGAUUGGAGUUGAAUUCACUUAAACAAUAACAUCGUACUUGCUGAUGGGCUAAUUAGCUGACCAAGCAGAGUUUAAAGAGAACUUCCAUUUCUUGAUUUAAGCGCUCAAAAUGCUGACACAUUUUUCUCUUCCUAAGGCCGGAACUACAAUUAUAAGUGGAUAAUUUUCGUUGUGAUGAUGAAAACUUGUCCUUGUUACUGUUCUAACAUUUUUCCAUAGCUUAACCUGUUAGCUAGACUCCAUUGCAAAAGAGACUCUUGAAAUCAGAUCCCCCCUCCUUUAACUUGUUGAAUGAUGCAUGAAAUGCAUGGACAAUUGUUCUCUUCAUAAAGCCUUGUAAGGCCUGCUUGCAUUUUUAUCAGCAGAAGCAGAAGGUACUGAACAACAUACCUUUACUCUAUUGUAAAUGUUCUGACCAAGUACAUCCCAGUCCUUUCCCUGCCAGGCUAACCUGGGGAAGGGAUAAAUAUUACAGUCUGAGCUUCCUAUCACAUUAACUUACUCCUGAGGAAGCGUUUCAGGUGUGCUUGUAUUUUUUUCAAGAAGCAGCUACUUCCGAGUUGCUUUCUAUGCUAUUAAUUUGCUCUUGAUAAGAACCAACAUUUCCUUAUUACUGUACUUAUCACCUAGGUAGGGCUAACAGGAGCUAGACGUAUAUUUUCUUUACGUUCAAUUCAUCAUUUACAAAAGUAAAUAUUAAUUUUAUUUCCUGCAACAUAAGCGAGUUGCUAAACCAGAUUCAAAAGUUCUAAUGUUGACUCAAAAGACAAAUUUGUAAAAAACUUUCUUCAGCAUCAUACUUUUUAAUGGAGUUCUCCCUCUCCCUUUCUACUUUGUAAGUUGUGAACGGAUUUUUGUGUGUGAGAGCACAUUCAUUAAGGAAACCAUUGAUCCUUUUUUAAUGUAGUAAAUAGUCUUCUACAUAUUAAUUUUGUACUUUCCUCUAACUUCCUUAAUCUGACGAGGUUGAUACAAGCCUAUCUCAAGUCAGUUUUGUUUUCUAUAUAUAAUUAACUCCGCCAAUCCAUGACCCGAGCUUCGGGCUUAAUGUGAUGAUAACUAGGCAUAAAAGAAGUAAAUAAUGGCCGGUAAGUCUUAGUCUACUCACAAAUUAAAGUCUGAUUCGGAGCUGUGUGAACCUCCUCUGUCUUAAUUUGUCCUUGAUUGCUUCCUUCAUUAAUUGUCUCAAUGCAGGGUCUUCAAACCAAAUUGAAUUUGAUAUGAUGAAAAUUAUCAUAAUUGAUAUCUUCAAAAUAAAAAAAUAAAAAAGCACAUGUCAUACAUGUGGACUUGUAAGUACCUGUCCUUGUAAGUAGUAGGCCAGUCUUCACAAGUCCAGUAAAAAGACUAGCAACAGUGCAAAUUCAAUAUGAAAGAGAGACUUUAACAAAACUCAUCUUUUUUCCAAGGAAAUGCAAUGUGGCAAGUGAAGCUUCUCAGUCUUUACCACGUACAUAUUCCCUCUCUAUAAAGACCUUCUCCACUCACCUUAGUUGGCAUCACAAGCCUAGCUUUAGUAGAUUCUUUUUGUAGCCCAAGAAGAGAGCAACCAGGCAAGAGGGAAAGAAAUGUUUCAGAACAUCGUUAAUGCUAUCGCAUCAUGCUGUGCAGGGGACAGUAAGAUGAAGAUCAAAGGCACUGUUGUGUUGAUGAAGAAGAAUGUCUUAGAAUUCAAUGACUUUCAUGCUUCGGUUCUUGAUCGUGGCCAUGAGUUGUUUGGCCAAGGAGUCUCUCUGCAAGUCAUUAGCGCUGCCAAAAGUGACCCUCCAGGUAUAUACAACAGUUCUUUCAUCAUUUUGUUGCUGAUUCAGUACUUCAUGCCUUUUCAAUCCCAAGAUGUUUUUCUUUUAUUGCUUGAUGAAGUUCAUUAAGAACACCUAGAGGGCUAGAAUAAGCACCCAGGAGAGGAAAUUCAUACAAAAAGCCAAAGGGGAGAGAGUAUAAGCCAAAGAGCAAGACAAGCUAGACAUGCAUGAAAAACACAAGAAAAACCUUAUCCUGCUCCCCAAGAUCAGGAUAUCAUCAUGAGAGGCGGCAGUACAUAAACAAAAGAAAAGUGAUGUAAGCUGCAAAUCAUGGCUCCUUUUGCCACAAGCCAGCUGAGCUUUAUACAAAUAGAGAAUAGGUCCAGGGGCUGUACGUAGAGCCAGAAGCCUGAACAACUAAACCUAGCUACCAAGCACCCCAAAAGACCACUCAACACCGAUCAGCAGCAGAUUAGUAUCCACAAGGGACACAAUCAAAUAAGAUUUGCAGCAGAAAAUUAAAGUUGGGAGGCUAGGGAAACCAGUAAAUUUGCUAGUGGGGAGAACAAAGAAUUUUAAAUUAGCAAGUAUAAACCCGACAGUGACAAGAUUAUUAAGUUAUGCUUGAUUCUCCAUAGUUGACCAUUUUCCAUGUGUGGUUUAUAGUCUUCCUUUCACACGUAUAUGCACCGUUUUAAUCAAUGUUACGGUCACUCGGUACAAGGCUGUGUCAUGAGUUGGAGAAUUUAACCUUAUCCUGUUCAGUGACCUGCUCCAAUACCCGUUAUAAUCAAGUUUGAUGCAUACAUCAUGGUAGGGACUAGGAACAUUAAGGCUGUGACAACUCUUCAUAGUCACUGCCAUGUUACUUUAUGAAAAUGCAUGAAACAAAUUCGAAGGCAGAAAUUGUUUUUUCCUAUGAUAUUUUUGCCUGUCAGGAAAACAUUAAAUAUAUAAGGAGGAUACUUUUGCCUGUCAUAGUUUUUAGAAAAAGUUAAUAUUUUUGCCUGUCAUAGUUUUUAGAAAAACAUUAAAUAUAUAAGGAGUUAGGUUGGGCGUGUUUUCUAUGAUUUUACUCUUAGGAGUGGUCACCUGUUCCUGGACCGUGUCUAAUGUUCAUAAUAUAAAAUAAAAUCUUUAAAUUAUUAGGGUAGUAUCAAUUUUUCACUAAAAUUAUUUUUUAUAUCAAAAUUUACCCCUAAAACUAUUUUAAUUUCUCAAUUAUGACUUUUAUAAGAAUUACUUAAUAGAAAGCAUUAAAUUUUCAAAUGAUGUCAUGUUCUUACAAAAGAAAAGUACAAUUUUGAUUGGAAACGUGGAUGGAAUGACUUCGGGUGCGUUUGGCACUGUUUUUUUUUAAAAAAUUAAUUAAUUUUUAUUUUAAAUUAAUAUGUUUUUGAUAUUUUUAAAUUAUUUUAAUGUGUUGAUUUCAAAAAUAAUUUUUUAAAAAUAAAAAUAUUAUUAAUAUAUUUUUUUAAAUAAAAAAUAUUUUUAAAAAUAACCAUGUUUUCAAACAUGUUUCAAAGCAGACAAAAACCAUUAAAUUAUGACUUUCUUCAAUCACCCAUCUUACCCUUGGGUCUCAUCUCACUGUCUCUCACAAGGUCAUGAUCACGACCCCUAAAAUGGUUGAUGUGGUAAGGCACGAAACCCACUACUGCUAACUUUUUGGACAUGUAUGGAUGAUCAUGUCGAGGACUAGGGGCAUAAAGAUUCUGACGUUAUUUAUACCUAAAUGCACUGUGCUUGGAGUAAAUUUCAAAAUCGAAAUGAGGCCAAACCAAGUCACGGGCAUCACCUCAAGUCAAAGGAAAUAUGGUUGGUGACAAGGACUUUCAAAGAGUAAUAAAUUUCUACGUAAAUUCUUUUAAUAUGCCUGUAAGUAUGAUCAUUCUUAUUACAUCAUAAUUCUUUCUUGUUACUCCAUGAUCUGUGGGAUAGACUCACACGAUUGUUGCUAACAUGAGGCUGUAGGUUGUUAAUAUUCCUCUGCAAACUAAGCAGAGGUAGAAGGCACAGUUUGUUGCGAAAAUAUACAAGGGCAGCCUUGGGCACUGGUUUAGUAAAUAUAUCAGCAAUCUGAUUAGCAGAGGACACAUGUUUAGUGACAAGUAAUCCAAGUGCAACUUGUUCGCGUACAAAAUGGUAAUCCAACUCAAUGUGUUUACUCCGAGCGUGAAAGACAGGAUUGAUGGUCAUGUAUAGAGCACUGAUAUUAUCGCAGUAGAGAAUUGGUGGAUGUGAUAGAGAUAUGCGAAGAUCUUUAAAGAUGUAUGUGAGCCACGUAAGUUCAGCAGUAGUAUUAGUCAUAGCUCGAUAUUUAGCUUCGGUACUGGAUCGAGAGAUUGUGUGUUGUUUUUUUGAACACCAGGAAAUGAUAUUGGUGCCAAGAAAGGUGCAGUAACCGGUGGUAGAUCUUCGUGUUGUAGGGCAGCCAGCCCAAUCCACAUCUGAGAAGGCAUGCAAUUCAAGAGUUGUAUUGGAAGAGAGACGUAGACCAGUAGCUAUUGUUCCUUUGAGGUCUCGAAGGAUGCGCUAAACCAGUUUCAAGUGGGCAAUUGUAGGAUUGUGCAUGAAUUGUGAAACAUAGUUGACACUGUAGGAUAGAUCGGGUCCAUAAGUGUGAGGUAUUGGAGAGCACCAAUAAUCCUACGAAACUGGGAUCAGCAAUGGAGGUAGUAUCUGCAUUUAUUUUGAAUUUGACUUUCAAAGGCGUGCUCAUGGGUUUGCAAUGAAGCAUACUAGAGCGGUCAUGGAUGGUAAGUGCAUAGUGUGACUGAGACAAAUAUAGUCCAAGGCAAAGGUAGAUCUAAAUUAACCCAGGAGUUGAUUACUGAUUCAAUAAUCUUAACUUCUUUCUGAAUCGUACCUGAAGCUUGAGUCAAUCAUUACAGCUAUAUAUAUUUUACCCAAUCCCCUUCAUCUCUCUAUCUACAUUGAAAUAUAUCUUUUUCUUAUUGUUUUUGUAUAAUUCUUGGACCUGCUAUUAUUUUAUAUUGUCAACAUGACCAUAUUUAUUCAUAGGUUUACCCAUUCCAACUAAUCUUUUUCUUUAUUACAUCCUCGUGUGCAUAUAAGUUAUUACACCUUGCUAAUAAUAUAUUGGUGUUAUACCAUGUCCACUACCAGAAAAUUGUCUGAGUCUAUCCCACAAAUCAUGAAGUGACAAGAAAGAAUUAUGAAGUAAUAAGGAUGAUUAUACUCACAUGUAUAUCAAAGGAAAUAUUGUUGGUGAUAAGGACUUUCCAAGAGUAACAAAUUCCUACGUAAAUGAUAAUUCAACAGCUAAAUACAGAGGGAAAUUAUCAAGUGUAGCUGUCAAUUAUUAUCUUUUUAUCAAAACGAUGUCUUUUGUUUUUUUUUUACAUUUCUUAGAGUUUGAUGCGGUCAGAUCUAUUGAGUUUGAUCAGGAUUAAUGUAGAUUGGCUUGAAAAAAUGUUGGAUCAUCAUGGCUAAUCAUAAUUAACGUAGCCCAUCAUUUGUAAUUAUAACAACAGUAAAUGGACCUGCAAUUUCCUGAGAUUAUACUGUAAUUAGCUAUCUAAAGUGGAAUUUGGUGCCUUUUGUAGAGAAUGAUUUGAAAGGGAAGCUAGGAGAGCCUGCAUAUUUGGAAGAAUGGAUUACUACCAUCACUUCCUUAACCGCCGGCGAGUCGGCUUUCAAGGUCACCUUUGACUGGGAUGAGGAGAUUGGAGUUCCAGGGGCAUUUCUGAUAAGAAACAAACAUCACAGUGAAUUCUACCUCAAGACUGUCACACUUGAAGAUGUUCCUGGCCAAGGCCGAGUCCACUUUGUUUGCAACUCGUGGAUUUAUCCUACGAAAUGUUACAAUUAUGAUCGUG
rnacentral:lncRNA from 1 species